rnacentral:rRNA from 1 species
ACCUGCCCUCUCGUGGGGAAUAACGCUGCGAAAGCAGCGCUAAUACCGCAUACGCUCCGGGGUCCAAUCCGCGGAGGAAAGCUUGAUGUGCGAGAGGAGGGGCCUGCGGCAGAUUAGCUAGUCGGUGGGGUAAUGGCCUACCGAGGCGACGAUCUGUAGCUGGUCUGAGAGGAUGAUCAGCCACACUGGGACUGAGACACGGCCCAG